rnacentral:rRNA from 1 species
AUUGAACGCUGGCGGCAGGCCUAACACAUGCAAGUCGAACGGUAACAGGAAACAGCUUGCUGUUUCGCUGACGAGUGGCGGACGGGUGAGUAAUGUCUGGGAAACUGCCUGAUGGAGGGGGAUAACUACUGGAAACGGUAGCUAAUACCGCAUAACGUCGCAAGACCAAAGAGGGGGACCUUCGGGCCUCUUGCCCUCGGAUUUGCCCAGAUGGGAUUAGCUAGUAGGUGGGGUAACGGCUCACCUAGGCGACGAUCCCUAGCUGGUCUGAGAGGAUGACCAGCCACACUGGAACUGAGACACGGUCCAGACUCCUACGGGAGGCAGCAGUGGGGAAUAUUGCACAAUGGGCGCAAGCCUGAUGCAGCCAUGCCGCGUGUAUGAAGAAGGCCUUCGGGUUGUAAAGUACUUUCAGCGGGGAGGAAGGGAGUAAAGUUAAUACCUUUACUCAUUGACGUUACCCGCAGAAGAAGCACCGGCUAACUCCGUG